UACGUAGGGGGGCGAGCGUUUGUCCGGAUUUAUUGGGCGUAAAGAGCGUGUAGGCGGCCAGGUAGGUCCGUUGUGAAAACUCGAGGCUCAACCUCGAGACGUCGAUGGAAACCAUCUGGCUAGAGUCCGGAAGAGGAGAGUGGAAUUCCUGGUGUAGCGGUGAAAUGCGCAGAUAUCAGGAAGAACACCUAUGGCGAAGGCAGCUCUCUGGGACGGUACUGACGCUGAGACGCGAAAGCGUGGGGAGCGAACAGG
rnacentral:rRNA from 1 species